CGGCAACAGCUCAAAUUUGAAAUCUGGCCUAGCCCGAAUUGUAAUUUGUAGAGGAUGCUUUUGGUGUGGCGCCUUCCAAGUUCCCUAGAACGGGACGCCUUAGAGGGUGAGAGCCCCGUACGGUAGGAUGCCUAUCCUUUGUAAAGCUCCUUCGAC
rnacentral:rRNA from 1 species